rnacentral:rRNA from 1 species
UGUGUAGGCGGCUUUGUAAGAUAGCGGUGAAAUACCUUGGCUUAACCUAGGAACUGCCGUUAUUACUAUAGAGCUAGAGUGAUAAAGAGGAUAUUGGAAUACCCAGUGUAGAGGUGAAAUUCGUAGAUAUUGGGUAGAAUACCGGAGGCGAAGGCGGAUUCCUGGAACGGUACUGACACUAAGGUGCGAAAGUCGGGGGAGCAAACA